AAGAAAGUGACUGCCGCCCCGCAUAGGGGCAACGCAAAUAGACCGACACGAAAGCAGGAUUCCAUAGAAGCCUCAAUCAAAACCCCCGUGCCCCAACAGCCUUCUCAUAAGCCUCACGAGCCACAA
rnacentral:sRNA from 1 species